CCUUCGAUAGCUCAGUUGGUAGAGCGGAGGACUGUAGGUUGAUUGUGACAGGUAUCCUUAGGUCGCUGGUUCAAUUCCGGCUCGAAGGA
rnacentral:tRNA from 1 species